UUUAUUGAACAAAGCCCUGAAAAAAGUCCGGAAGACAGUCAUUCGAGUCCAGAAAAAAGUCCGGAAAAAGUGGAGGGAAGAAGUCCUGAAAAAAAAAAACGUUUGAUGCAACAACAAUGGAGGCCUGUUAAACGUGCGAAAAUAUCGCCAAAGAAACCUUUGCGAAGUGUGCGAAUGCAACUGGCAUCAAGGCGGUUUAGUCCAAAAAAAAGUCCAAAGAAGAAAAUAUAUUUUUUGGCAAAAGAGACAG
rnacentral:lncRNA from 1 species